AACUCAAAGCCAGAAAGAAAACAGGGCAUUGUGAAGGAAUCUACAGCUACUGGAAACUAAAAAUGCCACGGGAUCGAGCAGAGAGGACAACGUGAGAGCGUAGUGUUUAAGAUCCUCAACAGAUACAGAGGCAUGUCAAGAGGUGAAGGAGAUCUCACUGGAGGCCACAGGAGCUUUGUGAAGCCAGUGCGACACAAUCACUGUUAAUCACUGUUGUCAAGCUGGAGAGGUCAAGGACCCGACUCAGCAUCACAGAGCCUGUUAUGGUUUGUGACCCUGUGUUACCCAGCACAGUGAGGGGCAAGAAGCAGGAGUGGACUGGGUCAGGCAGGAGUGGUUCUGAGCCAG
ensembl:lncRNA